GCUAUUUUGACAGAUUAAUGUGAUAAAUUUAGAAUUUAUAAAUAAAUAAUUUAUUAUUUAAAUAGUA
rnacentral:tRNA from 1 species